rnacentral:rRNA from 1 species
GCGAGCUGGGUUCAGAACGUCGUGAGACAGUUCGGUCCCUAUCCGUCGCGGGCGUAGGAAAUUUGAGAGGACCUGUCCUUAGUACGAGAGGACCGGGAUGGACAUACCGCUGGUGUACUAGUUGUUCCGCCAGGAGCACCGCUGGGUAGCUAUGUAUGGACGAGAUAAACGCUGAAAGCAUCUAAGUGUGAAACUCGCCUCGAGAUGAGAUUUCCCAUUUCCUUCGGGAAAGUAAGA